UACAGAGGUCCCAAGCGUUGUUCGGAUUCACUGGGCGUAAAGGGUGCGCAGGCGGCCGGGUGUGUCAGAUGUGAAAUCCCGAGGCUUAACCUCGGAACUGCGUCUGAAACUACUCGGCUAGAGUAUUGGAGAGGGUAACGGAAUUCACGGUGUAGCAGUGAAAUGCGUAGAUAUCGUGAGGAACACCAGAGGCGAAGGCGGUUACCUGGACAAUUACUGACGCUCAGGCACGAAAGCAUGGGGAGCAAAAGGG
rnacentral:rRNA from 1 species